rnacentral:tRNA from 1 species
AUCUAAAUAGUUUAAGAGAAAAAUGUUAGCUUGUGGAGCUUAAGAUAUAAGUAAUUAUUUUAGAUU